GACCCGAUAUCUCAGUGGUUAAAGCACUGAUCUUGUACAGCAGGGGUCGUGAGUUUGAUCCUCACUAGGGUGU
rnacentral:tRNA from 1 species